GGGUCUGUUUGAGACGGGUGGGGAGCCGGUGUCCUCUGCUGGUUUCUUGUUGACAAGUGACUCCUUCGUGCCGGUCUUGAGGAGGCUGUUCCUGUGUGACCCAGUCUUCUCCAAGGGCACGGCUCCUCCGGACACCUAGCAGCUGUUGGUGUUUGUCUGCGUGUCCCCUUCCUUGAGCCUGAAGGAGGAAUAUAAACAGCUGGAGAGAGAA